rnacentral:miRNA from 1 species
CUGUUGGGUCAGGGGCGGAGA